UACGUAGGUGGCAAGCGUUAUCCGGAAUUAUUGGGCGUAAAGCGCGCGCAGGUGGUUUCUUAAGUCUGAUGUGAAAGCCCACGGCUCAACCGUGGAGGGUCAUUGGAAACUGGGAGACUUGAGUGCAGAAGAGGAAAGUGGAAUUCCAUGUGUAGCGGUGAAAUGCGUAGAGAUCGAUGGAGACACCAGUGGCGAAGGCGACCUUC
rnacentral:rRNA from 1 species